AAAACUUCAAGUAUUUAGGUAUAUACGGAAAAACCAAAUGCCCACUUAUAGAUAUGUCGAAGGGUCGUAGCCCCCGAGCCUUGAUUGAUGGCGCUCGUCCUCCGAAUAGGUCUCCCCUAUAUGCGAAAUAACUAAAUAAACGUUAUUUAAAGCACAUACACAAAACUAGGAAAUAACUUCUCAUACAUUGCUCAAAUGGGGUAUUUGAAUAUACAACCAUGACCUACUCAACCUCAGGAACACCCCUAUAUUUUUAGAAAAAAAUUUCGGGCACCCACGCGACCUCACGAGCCGGCCAAGGCACGGCCAGACAUGCGGCCCACACGUAGGCACAAGCUUGGAACGCCAAACAAAUUCCCUAACGACGUUAGGGAAUAUUCCAUUAAAUAUAAGUAUAUACUGUUAAAUAUACCUGACGCUGUUAAUCACCAUGAGGAAUAUUCCAUCAAAGUUCACGGAAUAUUUGUCUUCUUCGUCGACGAGUCAUCGGAUUCUGUUGUCGUCGCCGGAAAAUGGGAAAAAAUUCUAAACUUCAUAUCUUCUUCAUUUCUAAACCAAAAUUCAUGAAAUUUGUACCAAAAUGAAGCUUACAACGAGUAGAACAAAACGUUACCAAUUUUAAGCCCUAAAAUCCACGGGAUCUUGUCGGAAAAAGGAACGAUAAUCUGGCCACCUCUGCAACUCGUCGAACCCGAGCCUCCCCACGUCCAAAUAACUCCAAAGUUACUCCCUGAGCUUCAUGAAGAUGUUUUAAGGCUUCCUACCUGAGCCUCACGAUUGGGGUUAUCUGGUUUUCGGGUUUUACGAGCUCUCACGUCGAACUAAAGGUAUGGAUGAGCUCUUGAGCUCACAAUGAACACAAAGACCACCUUCACAGCCUUGAUUCGUGCCUGCAAAGGUUGGUUUGAAGUUUUUCCGUACAAUUGUACUGAAAUGGAAAGGGAGAAGAGAGGGAGAGAGAGAGUCAACGUGUGUGUCUGUGGGUGUAUGUGUGGUCCGGAUUGGUCCCCAAACAAAAACAAGAAAAUAACUUAAGUUUGAAACACUUAGGAAUAAAAGAAAUGGAUCCAAAUCCUAAGCUUAGACCCCACAACCCCACAAAACGUUCAAGGGUACUUUAGUCAUUUCAUGCCACAAAAAAAAUAAUUCAGGACGGGCUAUGACAAUCCUUGUUUAAAAUAAAUUAUUUUUAUUCUAUAAUUAUUAAAAAUUAAGUUUAUCUAAUUAAAUAUAUCCAUAAACAAAGCUUUUUAUAAGAUCAUUAUUUCCAAACUUUUUAUAAGAUCGUUAUUUCCAAAGCUACUUCUCCUCUUUCAUCUCAAGCUUAUUUAUCCCAACCUUUUUUUCCCAGGCCCUUCAUCUCAAGUAAACUAAAAUAAAAUUGUACUUCCUUCUCUCACUUCCCCUUUCUUUCCCCAAUCUUUGCCUGCAACUCCUUUCUUUCCCCAGUACACACCACGAAGCCACAACCCACCCCAUCAACAAAAAAAAAAAAAACAAAAGAAAAAAAAAAUCCAAUUUUCAAGGUGAAUGUGAUAAAAGUUCUUUCCUUUGCUUCUGUUUGGGUCUACAAAUCAUAAUGUCCUUGAGGAUUUGGGCGUUCGUUGUUCUAGAUCACGUUCAUCGUUGUGGCGUCAUUUCAAACCUCGGGCGAUCAUUGUUCCAGACCACGUUCAUUGUUGUGGCGUCAUUUCAAAUCUCGAGUGAUCAUUGUUCCAAAUCAUAGCGUUCGUCGUUCAGUGCUACAACAUCAUUUUAGAUUGCGAAGGCGGAGUGGUAUGUGCUGUGAGAGAAACAAAUACAUAGGGGAGUGAUCGAUGAAGGUAGGAGUUGUUUUAGGAAUAUACAUGGGUAUUUUGGGUAGAAAACUUUGAUUUGUGAUGGAGCCCUCUACCUGGAAUUCAAUUACCACUUCUACAGAGGUAAUCCAAUUUUGGAAAAAUCCGGAAUUGAACUCCUAAAAUUGGGUGGAUCCCACAUAAAAUCUGAUUCCCCAAUUGCUAGUAAACGGCAGAAUGCUUCGGGAGAAAUUCAAUUUCGUUUCUCUCUAUUCCACUCUUGAUUGGUAAACAAGCCAUUAAUCAAUUUUCAUCAUCACUCACACAUCACAAUCAUUUUCCCUUCUUUUUGGCAUGUUCCCUCACGUGACUCUCUUUCACUCUCUCCUUCUUUUUUCUUGCCCUCUCUCUUUUCUCUCUCUCUCUCUCUCUCUCUCUCUUCCCUCUAACUCUAUCUAUCUCCUUCCCAACUACUCUUCUUCACUGCAAACCAAAAUCACCACCACCAUAGGCUAACAAUUCCAGCGAGCUACACUCCCAAUCAUAGUAUCUCUCUUUUGUCAGUCUCAUACGCUCCCCACUCCCUUUUUCUGUACUACUGUCCUUCCUACCAUUGUGGUGAAGUAGGGAAGCAUGAAUUGUCAUUGUUACGAAUUCGAAGGCUGGUAUUUGUGAUGGCGAUGAUGAUGAAUUGAUGAAUGGAUGAUUUUAAUCAAGCGAAAUGCUAAGGGACACACUCUCUCUCUGUGUGUGUGUGCUCACUGCACAAGUUUUGAAUCACUCAAUUUCAUUGAGUGUUGACAAAGUUAUGGAUGUUUAAAGUUUGUCCAGUUUUUUGGUGAGUUAGUUUCAGAAGGACCAGUCGCCUUUCAGGCCAUUUUUUGGCCAUCUCCGGCCACUUUUGGAACUCUAAAUAGGGACAAUCUUGUUCUAC
rnacentral:lncRNA from 1 species